CCUACGGGUGGCAGCAGUGAGGAAUAUUGGUCAAUGGGCGCGAGCCUGAACCAGCCAAGUCGCGUGAGGGAUGAAGGUUCUAUGGAUCGUAAACCUCUUUUAUAAGGGAAUAAAGUGUGGGACGUGUCCUAUUUUGCAUGUACUUUAUGAAUAAGGAUCGGCUAACUCCGUGCCAGCAGCCGCGGUAAUACGGAGGAUCCGAGCGUUAUCCGGAUUUAUUGGGUUUAAAGGGAGCGUAGAUGGGUUGUUAAGUCAGUUGUGAAAGUUUGCGGCUCAACCGUAAAAUUGCAAUUGAUACUGGCAGUCUUGAGUACAGUUGAGGUAGGCGGAAUUCGUGGUGUAGCGGUGAAAUGCUUAGAUAUCACGCAGAACCCCGAUUGCGAAGGCAGCCUGCCAAGCCAUGACUGACGCUGAUGCACGAAAGCGUGGGGAUCAAACAGGAUUAGAUACCCCAGUAGUC
rnacentral:rRNA from 1 species